rnacentral:miRNA from 1 species
UAUAGAUCAGGGUCUUUAGCGGCG